rnacentral:rRNA from 1 species
GGUUGACCUCGGAUCAGGUAGGGAUACCCGCUGAACUUAAGCAUAUCAAUAAGCGGAGGAAAAGAAACCAACAGGGAUUGCCCUAGUAACGGCGAGUGAAGCGGCAAGAGCUCAAAUUUGAAAGCUGGCCCCCUCGGGGCCCGCAUUGUAAUUUGCAGAGGAUGCUUCGGGCGUGGCCCCUGUCUAAGUGCCCUGGAACGGGCCGUCAGAGAGGGUGAGAAUCCCGUAUGGGAUGGGGUGCCCACGCCCGUGUGAAGCUCCUUCGACGAGUCGAGUUGUUUGGGAAUGCAGCUCUAAAUGGGUGGUAAAUUUCAUCUAAAGCUAAAUAUUGGCCGGAGACCGAUAGCGCACAAGUAGAGUGAUCGAAAGAUGAAAAGCACUUUGAAAAGAGAGUUAAAAAGCACGUGAAAUUGUUGAAAGGGAAGCGCUUGCGACCAGACUCGCCCCAGGGGUUCAACCGGCUUUCGGGCCGGUGUACUUCCCCCGGGGCGGGCCAGCGUCGGUUUUGGCGGCCGGUCAAAGGCCCCUGGAAUGUAACGCCCCCCGGGGCGUCUUAUAGCCAGGGGUGCCAUGCGGCCCGCCGGGACCGAGGAACGCGCUUCGGCUCGGACGCUGGCAUAAUGGUCGUAAGCGACC